rnacentral:rRNA from 1 species
GACGAACGCUGGCGGCGUGCUUAACACAUGCAAGUCGAACGGAAAGGCCCUGCUUUUGUGGGGUGCUCGAGUGGCGAACGGGUGAGUAACACGUGAGUAACCUGCCCUUGACUUUGGGAUAACUUCAGGAAACUGGGGCUAAUACCGGAUAGGAGCUCCUGCUGCAUGGUGGGGGUUGGAAAGUUUCGGCGGUUGGGGAUGGACUCGCGGCUUAUCAGCUUGUUGGUGGGGUAGUGGCUUACCAAGGCUUUGACGGGUAGCCGGCCUGAGAGGGUGACCGGCCACAUUGGGACUGAGAUACGGCGCAGACUCCUACGGGAGGCAGCAGUGGGGAAUAUUGCACAAUGGGCGGAAGCCUGAUGCAGCAACGCCGCGUGCGGGAUGACGGCCUUCGGGUUGUAAACCGCUUUCGCCUGUGACGAAGCGUGAGUGACGGCAAUGGGUAAAGAAGCACCGGCUAACUACGUG